GCUUAGCCCUAAACAUAGACAGCAAAGCACACAAUACUGUCCGCCAGAGAACUACAAGUGAAAAACUAGAAACUCUAAGGACUUGGCGGUGCCCCAAACCGGCCUAGAGGAGCCUGUCCUAUAAUCGAUAAUCCACGUUGUACCUCACCAUUUCUUGAAACUCAGCCUAUAUACCGCCGUCGCAAGCCUACCUUAUGAAAGAAACAAAGUAGACAAAACAGUUAAUAACUAAAACGUCAGGUCAAGGUGUAGCACAUGAAAUGGAAGAGAUGGGCUACAUUUUCUACUACAGAAUAACACGAACAGCACAGUGAAACCCGUGCUCAAAGGCGGAUUUAGCAGUAAGACGAACAAGAAAAUUUAUCUUAACCCCGCUCUGGGGCGCGC
rnacentral:rRNA from 1 species